rnacentral:rRNA from 1 species
GAUGAACGCUGGCGGCGUGCCUAAUACAUGCAAGUCGAGCGAACAGACGAGGAGCUUGCUCCUCUGACGUUAGCGGCGGACGGGUGAGUAACACGUGGAUAACCUACCUAUAAGACUGGGAUAACUUCGGGAAACCGGCGCUAAUACCGUAUAAUAUAUUGAACCGCAUGGUUCAAUAGUGAAAGACGGUUUUGCUGUCACUUAUAGAUGGAUCCGCGCCGCAUUAGCUAGUUGGUAAGGUAACGGCUUAGCAAGGCGACGAUGCGUAGCCGACGUGAGAGGGUGAUCGGCCACACUGGAGCGGAGACACGGUCCAGAGUCCUACGAGAGGCAGCAGUAGGGAAUCUUCCGCAAUGGGCGAAAGCCUGACGGAGCAACGCCGCGUGAGUGAUGAAGGUGUUCGGAUCGUAAAACUCUGUUAUUAGGGAAGAACAAAUGUGUAAGUAACUAUGCACGUCUUGACGGUACCUAAUCAGAAAGCCACGGCUAACUACGUG